rfam:Erinaceus europaeus unplaced genomic scaffold scaffold00217, whole genome shotgun sequence
GGAUGUGAGGGUGACCUGGCUGUGACCUUUGCCACCCCACUGGUCGCCAGGGUUGACGGGCUCAUCUGGCUGACCAGGUGGGUGUCCCCUUCUGCCCUCACGACUCCACGUGCGUCCCAAGCGAAGCUGCAAGUUCGGUCAAAGAGGGCGGCCUUCCUGGAAGAGAGACAGACGGCCUUCGGAUAGAAACAGAGGGUCUACGAGUAGCUGCUCUUCCCUGUCAGAACCUUCAGACAAGCUAUUGGGGAACAGCAAAGAGCUUCCGGUCCAUGGGCCUGGUCUGCUGUGCAUAGACCGUCAU